rnacentral:rRNA from 1 species
UACGUAGGGGGCAAGCGUUGUCCGGAAUCAUUGGGCGUAAAGCGCGUGUAGGCGGCUCGGUAAGUCUGCUGUGAAAGUCCAGGGCUCAACCCUGGGAUGCCGGUGGAUACUGUCGAGCUCGAGUCCGGAAGAGGCGAGUGGAAUUCCUGGUGUAGCGGUGAAAUGCGCAGAUAUCAGGAGGAACACCAAUGGCGAAGGCAGCUCGCUGGGACGCGACUGACGCUGAGACGCGAAAGCGUGGGGAGCAAACAGG